UACAGAGGUCUCAAGCGUUGUUCGGAUUCAUUGGGCGUAAAGGGUGCGUAGGCGGCGCGGUAAGUCGGGUGUGAAAUCUCGGGCUUAACUCCGAAACUGCAUUCGAUACUGCCGUGCUUGAGGACUGGAGAGGAGACUGGAAUUUACGGUGUAGCGGUGAAAUGCGUAGAUAUCGUAAGGAAGACCAGUGGCGAAGGCGGGUCUCUGGACAGUUCCUGGACGGCUGAGGCAACGAAGGCCCAGGGGAGCAAACGGG
rnacentral:rRNA from 1 species